rnacentral:pre_miRNA from 1 species
UAGUUUUGUCCUAAGUCAAACUAUCUCAAGUUUGACCAAGUUUGUAAAUAAUAAUAUCAAUAUGUAUAACACCAAAUAGAUAUAUUAUGAAAAUAUAUUUCAUAAUAAAUCUAAUGAUACUUAUUUGGUGUUAUGAAUAUUGACACUUUUCUCUAUAAAUUUGGUCAAACUUAACAUAGUUUGACUUAGGACAAAACUAUA